rnacentral:rRNA from 1 species
GCUCAGAAACUACAAGGAAUUGACGGGGCCCGCACAAGCGGUGGAGCAUGUGGUUUAAUUCGAUGCAACGCGAAGAACCUUACCUGGUCUUGACAUCCCGGAGACCCUUAGGAAACUAGGGGGUGCUUCCAUCUGGAAGAAUCUGGAGACAGGUGCUGCAUGGCUGUCGUCAGCUCGUGUCGUGAGAUGUUGGGUUAAGUCCCGCAACGAGCGCAACCCUUGCCUUUAGUUGCCAGCAGUUCGGCUGGGCACUCUAAAGGGACUGCCGGUGUUAAACCGGAGGAAGGUGGGGAUGACGUCAAGUCCUCAUGGCCUUUAUGACCAGGGCUACACACGUACUACAAUGGCCGAUACAAAGGGCAGCGACACUGCGAGGUGAAGCCAAUCCCGUAAAAUCGGUCUCAGUCCGGAUUGGAGUCUGCAACUCGACUCCAUGAAGUUGGAAUCGCUAGUAAUCGUGGAUCAGCAUGCCACGGUGAAUACGUUCCCGGGCCUU